UACAGAGGUCUCAAGCGUUGUUCGGAUUCAUUGGGCGUAAAGGGUGUGUAGGUGGCGCCGUAAGUCGGGUGUGAAAUCUCGGGGCUUAACUCCGAAACUGCAUUCGAUACUGCGGUGCUUGAGGACUGGAGAGGAGACUGGAAUUUACGGUGUAGCAGUGAAAUGCGUAGAGAUCGUAAGGAAGACCAGUGGCGAAGGCGGGUCUCUGGACAGUUCCUGACACUGAGACACGAAGGCCAGGGGAGCAAACGGG
rnacentral:rRNA from 1 species